GAUUCAACUAAACACAUUAAAUCAGAUUAAAAUCCAUAUUAACAAGUUAAGCCAAAUUUAAAGGGAUUAGGUUUACUAACGUGAAACUCAACUCUUCCCCUUUCUCAAACGCAAACGGUGCGGCGGCUAGUCCUCCAUCGACGACGAGGCCGCGCGGCUUUCCGGCCACCUCAACCUUUGCUUCCAUUCUUCUUCAUCUUUGGUUCCAAUUCCAACUUCUAAUCACGGAUUGACCUUCGCUGCUCGCCUUCUCACACUUCCCCGUUCAUGAUUCAACACUUCGAGUCUCUUCUUCUUCUCAUUUCGUCUUCUUCUGUUCUUAGAUUCGUUGUGUUUGUGUGAUGUUGUGAGGUUGUUGUUGUUGCAGCGAUGUGAUGCAAGAUGAGAAUGAACGUAAUGCGAUUUGGUUAUCAUGAAGACUAAGCUUGGAGUCGCGGUUCCGCCGCAGUGAUGAAGAUUUGCGGUAAGCUUGCUAUGGUGAUUGAAAGUGUCGAUGCUGAACCUUUCUGAGGAUUACAGGGAAGUUACGGUUAUAUGAUGUAUUGUGAAAUUGAAGAUUGUUCUCUAACUGUGAUUUUGUUUUUCUGUUUUCUGUUAUGCUGUUUUUAUGAAUUUUUAGGUUAUCCUCGAUGAAGAUAGAGGAAGAUUGAAGAUGAUGAAGUCAAGAAUGAUGAACGUUGAUGAAGCUUUUUGCAGAUUGAUGAUGAAGAAGGUUGCAGAUACGCUUCGCGGUGAAGAGAAGCUUCGAUCUGUGUUGAUGAUCUGAUGUGAUUUUGUCGAAGCGUAAUGAAGGUGAUGCUGUUGUGGCUCGGUGUUGUUACGAGGUUGCGAUUUCAGAGAAGGUGAAGAUGAUGAGAGGUUGAACAAUCUUCUGUGGUGAAUCGGUGGUGAGAUUGAAGAAGAGUGGAUGAAGGUUUUGUUGAGAGAAAAAGAUGAAGAGUGAUUGGAAGAGGUUUUUCUUGAAGGUUCCUUGAAGAAGAAGAGUGAUGAAGGUGGUUAUCGAGAUUCAAUCCAGAUAGAAGGUUGAGAUUCCAAAGUUUGUUACAUUCUAUUAGAAGUUUGUUACAGGCUGCUUUUGGUUUGAACUUGCAGGGUCGGCUUUACUCAAGAGUGCUGUAGAAUUCAAGGUUGCAACUGGUUUGUAAACCAAUAUGGGAUGGGCUUUCAAUUUCUCACGGUUUCUGUCAAGCCGCAGAGAUCAAUUUCUCACGCUUUUAAUUUCUUUGAAUUGCUUCUGGUUUUAUUUUGCACUAUGUAGCGUGAAUUUGGUUGUUGAUUUUCCUUAUAAUUGAAGAGAGUCCUUUACCUUUUGCAACGUGGGCUACUGGUGCCAAAUUUGUAAUGGUGACAAUCUGAAUGUAUUUAAAUGGACUUUCCCUUUCAAGUAUUUUUUUUUGUAACUUCCAUACUUUUUCUAUUUUGUGAAUGAACCUUGCAUAUACAUAUUACAAUGAGUCUUGAAGGAAUUUUGUGAUGAAUCUGGAUAGAAAUUUAAAUGGGCUUUGCUUUUAUAGUCGAGACUCCAAGCAAUUCAAUACCACCUUAAUCCGACUAAACUAAGAACUCAUGGCCAUCAGUGAUUUCUAGUGAAUUCAAAUUUUCAAUCUAAUGAAAACUUGUCUUCGACUCUCAAACCACAAACGAUUUUCAUUUCAAGAAUGAACUCGAAAAUUUGCGCUCUUGAUAAUUAACUGAUCUGGCUUAAAACAAGAAAGACCAGGCAACCCCAUUGCUGAGGGAAAAAACUUCAAUUGGUCUGGGCACCAAGAGAAGGUUGUCAUCUUCGGUUGAUCUGGAUAUCACAGCGAAACAGACGACUU